AAAUAACUUUAAUCUCAGACGUUGAUCAAAAUCAAUCCGAGAUCAAAUUUCUCACUUCUCUCCUUUGCUAAACCCUAAUCUCAUUUCCACGAAAAACAUCUGCCCCUCUCCCUAUCUUCUCUCUCUUCCCUCUCUCUAUACUUCCUCUCUCUCUCAAACCAAAACAGCCGAUGCCACCUUUACUGGCGACCACCAUUAAGAUGCUUUUCUCCUUCCCGAGGUUUUCCUCCGCUGCACAAAAGCCAUACAGCCGCCACAGCCAUCAACACCAGUCGUCGCCGCCGGCGGACUCAACAAUUUCGUCCAAUCACCAAGAAUGAGUUUGAAAGAAAAAAAUAAGAAAUAUUAGUUGCUCAAAGUGCAUCAAUUAUGGAAGGAGGGUGAGAAAGGAAUUAGACUUGUUGAUGAAGCAUGUAUACCAAAAAUCAUCUGCAAAUGAUGAACACCCAUCGCAAGAAGCCAACCAAGCUUAUGAGGAUGAAAGUGAUGGUGACUCUGACGAUGUGAAUGAAAUUGAUAAUCCUAAUAACGUGAAUGAAAGUGAUCUGAUCCUGGUGGUUGGUAGUUUUAUUGAGGAUUCAAGUUUAAAAUAUUUUGUUUUGGACCAUUUAAGAAUUAUACAUUAUUGAUGUGGAUGUUUUGAAUUAUGUUUUUUUUGUUAGUUGUAAGGGUUUACAUUAGAUUUGUAUUGAAUGAUGUUUUUGAGAAUUAUUGAAGGUUUUGAAUAGAUUUUUGAUUAA